CCUACGGGUGGCUGCAGUGGGGAAUAUUGGACAAUGGGGGGAACCCUGAUCCAGCCAUGCCGCGUGUGUGAAGAAGGCCCUCGGGUUGUAAAGCACUUUCAGUGAGGAAGAACGCCUGGUGGUUAAUACCCAUCAGGAAAGACAUCACUCACAGAAGAAGCACCGGCUAACUCCGUGCCAACAGCCGCGGUAAUACGGAGGGUGCGAGCGUUAAUCGGAAUUACUGGGCGUAAAGCGCGCGUAGGUGGCUUGAUAAGCCGGUUGUGAAAGCCCCGGGCUCAACCUGGGAACGGCAUCCGGAACUGUCAAGCUAGAGUGCAGGAGAGGAAGGUAGAAUUCCCGGUGUAGCGGUGAAAUGCGUAGAGAUCGGGAGGAAUACCAGUGGCGAAGGCGGCCUUCUGGACUGACACUGACACUGAGGUGCGAAAGCGUGGGUAGCAAACAGGAUUAGAUACCCUAGUAGUC
rnacentral:rRNA from 1 species